UCUGCUUCUGAAUUCUGCAGAGCUGAGAAGGCUGUGGGGCCAUCGCCGCUAUCUCUGAAUGUUCCAGAUGAGGACACUGAGGUCCAGAGAAGGACUGUGAUACCCGAAGACCACACAGAGCGUAUGCCCUAGGUGGCUGACUGCCCUGCCUGUGCUGAGCAUCUACGGCAGACGGGAGAAAAUGGGCAGCAGUGCCAGGACAGCUCCGGGGAAUGUCAUCUGGGAGUGCCCUCUGAUGGGAAAUCAAACCCAAUUUAUCUUGAGCUGCCAAAGACAAGAAAGGUGUGUACCUGGUUUCUUUACAUUAAUAAAGCAAUGGGAUGUAAAAGCCACAGUGGCUUCCUUUCUAUUGUGGACAGAUUCUUGAGAAUGGAAUUUUGAGGUCAGGAAGACUGAGAGAGCACCUAAACGUCUGUCAGUCUAGAAAAUGCAUCCAAGAAAAUGAAGGCCUUUGUGUGUAUGGGGAUGAAGAAAGCUCAAUUUGAAAAAGCCAAGAUGCUCGGAAAAUAUGGAUUUGCCAUUUUGUGAAAACUUCUGGAAGCACUCUUAAAGUUUCUUACCAAGCACCAAACAAAAGAAGGCUCACUUUACUGGAGGAAAUUCACCUAGAGCCAUGCACACGAGGGAUGGGGAGAGGCCAGGAAGUGUCUCUCUCUAGUCAGAGGUGCAUCUGUGAAGAACGGUUAACAUAUUUUGAAGUGGAUUCUGGAGGAAUUGGCAGCUUUGUCACUCCCCUCAGUGAGCCACUCAGUCACACUACAGACACCCUUCAACAUGGCUACCUCCUUGUUUUGUUCAUGAUGACCCUGCAAACAUCAACAAAGAGGAAUUCUUGUUUUUUCAUUUGCUGCAUUUAACACGGAUGUAUUCAAGCUUUCCCAAAAAUCCUGAGAGAAGUCUUGUUGGCAGUCUUAAAAGUCAUCACCUUUAUCAAAAGUGGGUCUCAGAAUCAUAGUGUUUUUACCAGGUGUGUCAAGAAACAAUAGAAAACAAGGGGGCUUCUCUACCACAGAGAAGCUUACUGACUUUGAAGAGGCAAGUUUCACUUUUUCUAACAGAAAAAGAAAAUCCAUUCUUGGAGCACUUAGAAAGAAAGAAUUUUGUCUGUGGGUUGGUUGGCUUCCUUGGCAGAUAUUUUUAACCAUAGGAAUGAGAUGACUCUUAAUUCCCUGAUAUCACCAUUAUGGACACCUCUAAAAACACUGUGAGCUUUCUUGGUUGAUACGAGUCUGACAUCUUUGCAAACUUUCAAGUGCUUUACCUCAAUAGAGCUGAGUUACAAAAUGCUGUCAAUUUACUUGAAAAGAGUAAUCUACAAACACCUGGAAACACUUUAGAACUCUUUCAAAAGUUAUUUCUGUCUUAAUGGUAACAAAAUUGAACCUUAGGGUAAUGUUCUUUUUCUUUCUGAUAUAAACUGCAUCUGAGGUGUUGACCUAGCCAAAGAUGAAUUCAUUGAUCUUAGGACCAACACCCUACUCUAACUAUAGUUUCACUAAAAAGCCCAAAGGAGUUUUGGUGAUCUCCAGGAGACCCUUAUCUGAUUUGUGAAAGUGCUAUGGAAGCUUUAAUUCUAUUUUCAAUACUGUAUCUUUGAGGAUUGGGUUUUCAACAUUGUCAUCAUUAAAAAAAUGUCAAAAUCAACUGGAUUUCUAACAGGACAUGUGUAUUAUCUUGAAAACAAAGUCCAUCAUUUGAUGUUCUUAAUUCAAGGUAAGCCGA